rnacentral:rRNA from 1 species
AACGAACGCUGGCGGCAUGCCUAACACAUGCAAGUCGAACAAGACCUUCGGGUCUAGUGGCGCACGGGUGCGUAACGCGUGGGAAUCUACCCCUGGGUUCGGAAUAACAGUUAGAAAUGACUGCUAAUACCGGAUGAUGACGUAAGUCCAAAGAUUUAUCGCCCAAGGAUGAGCCCGCGUAAGAUUAGCUUGUUGGUGGGGUAAUGGCCUACCAAGGCGACGAUCUUUAGCUGGUCUGAGAGGAUGAUCAGCCACACUGGGACUGAGACACGGCCCAGACUCCUACGGGAGGCAGCAGUGGGGAAUAUUGGACAAUGGGCGAAAGCCUGAUCCAGCAAUGCCGUGUGAGUGAUGAAGGCCUUAGGGUUGUAAAGCUCUUUUACCAGGGAUGAUAAUGACAGUACCUGGAGAAUAAGCUCCGGCUAACUCCGUGCCAGCCGCCGCUGUAA